AUUGAACGCUGGCGGAAUGCUUUACACAUGCAAGUCGAACGGCAGCACGGGGGCAACCCUGGUGGCGAGUGGCGAACGGGUGAGUAAUACAUCGGAACGUGCCCGGUCGUGGGGGAUAACGUAGCGAAAGUUACGCUAAUACCGCAUACGAUCUGAGGAUGAAAGCGGGGGACCUUCGGGCCUCGCGCGAUCGGAGCGGCCGAUGUCAGAUUAGGUAGUUGGUGGGGUAAAGGCCUACCAAGCCGACGAUCUGUAGCUGGUCUGAGAGGACGACCAGCCACACUGGGACUGAGACACGGCCCAGACUCCUACGGGAGGCAGCAGUGGGGAAUUUUGGACAAUGGGCGCAAGCCUGAUCCAGCCAUUCCGCGUGCAGGACGAAGGCCUUCGGGUUGUAAACCGCUUUUGUAUGGAACGAAAAGGCUCUGGCUAAUACCUGGGGCUCAUGACGGUACCGUAAGAAUAAGCACCGGCUAACUACGUG
rnacentral:rRNA from 1 species